rnacentral:rRNA from 1 species
ACGCGCAGAACCUUACCAGCCCUUGACAUUUGGGCGCUACAACCGGAGACGGUUGGUUCCCUUCGGGGACGUCAGGACAGGUGCUGCAUGGCUGUCGUCAGCUCGUGUCGUGAGAUGUUGGGUUAAGUCCCGCAACGAGCGCAACCCUCGCCCUUAGUUGCCAGCAUUUAGUUGGGCACUCUAGGGGGACUGCCGGUGAUAAGCCGGAGGAAGGUGGGGAUGACGUCAAGUCCUCAUGGCCAAANAAAAANCUGGGCUACACACGUGCUACAAUGGCGGUGACAGUGGGCAGCGACCUCGCGAGGGGAAGCUAAUCUCCAAAAGCCGUCUCAGUUCGGAUUGUUCUCUGCAACUCGAGAGCAUGAAGUUGGAAUCGCUAGUAAUCGCGUAACAGCAUGACGCGGUGAAUACGUUCCCGGGCCUUGUACACACCGCCCGUCACACCAUGGGAGUUGGUUUUACCCGAAGGCGCUGUGCUAACCGCAAGGAGGCAGGCGAACCACGGUUA